GUUCAAUUAGAAGGCUCAUCACACAAGGGAAGCUUCUGUGAACGUCAGGGCCCGUGGAAGACUGAACAGAGUUUGUGCAAGUUUCUGAGGACUCCUGAUUGCAUUGCCAGCUGAUGGAAAAAAAUUCAGACCUGUACAUCCUCAUCAGAACACCAGGGAGAUCAUAAGUCACAAGGCAGAAAUGUGUGAUCAUCAAGAAAAAGAGCACAAGCACAGAAGACCAGCCGGCUCCAAAGGUCCACAUGUGAAGCACCACCAUCAAAAUCAAGGCCAUCAGCGUCACAAUAAUAAGCAAAGGUCAGAUGGCAACGAUAGUCAUGACACUCAUUCUACAGCAGAGGAGAGCAUUUUGAGUGAUCAUCAUACCAACCGUCAGCAUCAGUCCGAAUCUCACCAUUACCACCACAAGCAAAACCAUCGUCAUGUUUCUCUUUCACAAACUUCCUCAAGUUCCUCAAGCCAUUCUUCUUCAUCCUCUUCAUCCUCUUCAUCUUCAUCGACAUCCUCAUCUUCCUCUUUGUCCUCCUC